GAUGAACGCUAGCGGCAGGCUUAACACAUGCAAGUCGAGGGGCAGCGGAGCGGAGUGCUUGCACUCUGCUGCCGGCGACCGGCGCACGGGUGAGUAACACGUAUGCAACCUGCCCCGGAGCGGGGGAUAACCCGGCGAAAGCCGGACUAAUACCGCGUAUAUAUCCAGGAGGCAUCUUCUGGAUAGGAAAGGACUUCGGUCCGCUCCGGGAUGGGCAUGCGGCGCAUUAGGCAGACGGCGGGGUAACGGCCCACCGUACCGACGAUGCGUAGGGGUUCUGAGAGGAAGGCCCCCCCANACUGGUACUGAGACACGGACCAGACUCCUACGGGAGGCAGCAGUGAGGAAUAUUGGUCAAUGGGGCGAGAGCCUGAACCAGCCAAGCCGCGUGAGGGGACGACGGCCCUACGGGUUGUAAACCUCUUUUACAAGGGAAUAAAGAUGGGGUCGAGACCCCAGUUGCAUGUACCUUGUGAAUAAGCAUCGGCUAACUCCGUGCCAGCAGCCG
rnacentral:rRNA from 1 species